UACGUAGGGGGCAAGCGUUGUCCGGAUUCAUUGGGCGUAAAGAGCGUGUAGGCGGCCAGGUAGGUCGGUUGUGAAAACUGGAGGCUCAACCUUCAGAGGUCGACCGAAACCAUCUGGCUAGAGUCCGGGAGAGGAGAGUGGAAUUCCUGGUGUAGCGGUGAAAUGCGCAGAUAUCAGGAAGAACACCCGUGGCGAAAGCGGCUCUCUGGAACGGUACUGACGCUGAGACGCGAAAGCGUGGGGAGGCGAACAGG
rnacentral:rRNA from 1 species